AGUGAACGCUGGCGGCGUGCCUAAUACAUGCAAGUCGAACGGAAUUUAAAAGAGCUUGCUCUUUUAAAUUUAGUGGCGCACGGGUGAGUAAUAUAUAGCUAAUCUGCCCCUUGCUGGAGGACAACAGUUAGAAAUGACUGCUAAUACUCCAUACUCCUUUUUACCAUAAGAUAAAUCGGGAAAGAAUUUCGGCAAGGGAUGAGACUAUAUCGUAUCAGCUAGUCGGUGGGGUAACGGCCUACCGAGGCUAUGACGCGUAACUGGUCUGAGAGGAUGAUCAGUCACAUUGGAACUGAGACACGGUCCAAACUCCUACGGGAGGCAGCAGUAGGGAAUAUUGCGCAAUGGGGGAAACCCUGACGCAGCAACGCCGCGUGGAGGAUGACACUUUUCGGAGCGUAAACUCCUUUUGUUAGGGAAGAAUAAUGACGGACCUAACGAAUAAGCACCG
rnacentral:rRNA from 1 species